rnacentral:rRNA from 1 species
GUGUUUAUUUUACCUUGUUGCUUCGGCGGGCCCGCCUUAACUGGCCGCCGGGGGGCUCACGCCCCCGGGCCCGCGCCCGCCGAAGACACCCUCGAACUCUGUCUGAAGAUUGAAGUCUGAGUGAAAAUAUAAAUUAUUUAAAACUUUCAACAACGGAUCUCUUGGUUCCGGCAUCGAUGAAGAACGCAGCGAAAUGCGAUACGUAAUGUGAAUUGCAAAUUCAGUGAAUCAUCGAGUCUUUGAACGCACAUUGCGCCCCCUGGUAUUCCGGGGGGCAUGCCUGUCCGAGCGUCAUUGCUGCCCUCAAGCCCGGCUUGUGUGUUGGGCCCCGUCCUCCGAUUUCCGGGGGACGGGCCCGAAAGGCAGCGGCGGCACCGCGUCCGGUCCUCGAGCGUAUGGGGCUUUGUCACCCGCUCUGUAGGCCCGGCCGGCGCUUGCCGAUCAACCCAAAUUUUUAUCCAGGUUGACCUCGGAUCAGGUAGGGAUACCCGCUGAACUUAAGCAUAUCA